AUUACCGUAUCUCGGUGCUACAUUAUUAUUCCGCUUUUAUUACCGUGAAUAUUAUUUCUGUGGGGGUUUAUUCCUAACAGAGUCAAACUUAUGCGGGUUAAGACAGACCAUGAUUCAAUUAUUUCAAUUUCGUUUGGGCCAAAUUGGUCAACGGGUCAUAACUCAUAACCCAACCCUCUAUGUGAACCAACCUCCUCUCAUUUUUUAUUUUGCUUAUUGAUAAAACAAAAUGUGAAAGUUAAUGCUUCUUUCUGAAAUCCUUAGCUUAAAUUCUUCAAAUUUUACAUUGUCUUCAAUCUGUCAAUUUAAUUUUGUACGUUUGAAUUUUGGUUGUAUUCUGACCUAUUGGUUACACUAUGAUUUGUGUUGAUCCAAUAGCUUAAUGGAUCAUUUCGAGUUCAAUGCAUCGGAUCAAUAGUCAACAAUAUAGUCAUAACUCAACCCAUUUAAAUUUAGUUUAGUUGCACAUAUUACUAAAGUAUGAGUUGAUUUUGCCACCUCUAAUCUUCAGCUAACAUGCCAAAAGUUAACUCUCAAAUGAUAUGAUUAUAUAUUAUUAACUUUACUCUUAUUUUGUAGACAUGGCUAGUAGGGGAUGGAUUGAGUGAAGAACAACAAUUGAAGGCACCAAAAGGAACAUUGUUCAUUCCAUUCUCACAAUUCCCACCAAGGAAAGCUCGCAAAGAUUGCUUCUACUUCCACACCCCGGCCAUGAUCGCUUCCAAGCAUCUUGAAAAUGUUGACUCUUGUGAGAAUUGGCUUCCGAGAAGAGUUAUGAGUGCAUGGAGAAUAGCUGGGAUUUUACAUGCAUUGGAAGGAUGGAGUGAGCACGAGUGUGGGGACAAGAUGUUUGAUAUUGAGAAAGCGUAUAAAGCCAGUCUUGAUCAUGGUUUUCGCCCAUUAACCUUGACUUCUGCCACUGAAUCAAUGGCUUAAAUCGUUUUCCGAUCCUUGGUAUAAUUGACCAGUUGUUAUUUACAAGUUAUUAGUAACAUGUAAGACUUUUUAGUUUAAUUUGUUUGGAUUUUAACACUUGUUAUUUAACCUCUAUUAAUUCUGGUUCUGCUAGCUCGGGUUACAAUCUUAUAACAUUAUAAGGAUGCUAUAUAUCAGUGAAUCCAUUUCUUUAUAGUUGAGGUAUGUA